UACAGGGGGGGCAAGCGUUGUUCGGAAUUACUGGGCGUAAAGGGCUCGUAGGUGGCCAACUAAGUCAGACGUGAAAUCCCUCGGCUUAACCGGGGAACUGCGUCUGAUACUGGAUGGCUUGAGUUCGGGAGAGGGAUGCGGAAUUCCAGGUGUAGCGGUGAAAUGCGUAGAUAUAUGGAAGAACAUCAAUAACGGCGAAGGCAGUUAACUAUUCUGUUACUGACAUUGAGGCACGAAAGCGUGGGGAGCAAAACGG
rnacentral:rRNA from 1 species